rnacentral:lncRNA from 1 species
AUUCAAUAAAAUGUGCUGAGAAAAUGAAAACUGCAAUAGAUCAUCCUGCAGAAUAUGGCUAAAAAAUAAUCUCUCUUUCGUGUCAUGGAGAGGCGGUGCCAUGCCCGUUGUGCAGCCCUGGAUGGACUGGGUGGGCAAGUCAGAGCCCCAGUGAUCCCACGUGCAGAAUGACUCACAGGCCAAGGCUCACUAAACUGAGGGCCAGCGAGGGGCUGAGGACACAGGAACCGUAUUCUAGGCUGAAAGCCCAGCACCACUCGUCCACCCGCUUAAGCCCAGCAGAUUCAGGCCUUGCCCAUCAUCUGUUGCUUCAACUACUUCAGCCACCAUCUAACUUAUCUUGACUGAGCACUCCAACAAGGUUUCCACAAUCCUUCAAAGAUCCAGCGUUAAAAUGUCCGUUUAUUCCAUUGUAUAUAUGUACCACGUCUUCUGCGGUAGAAACCAACACAACAUUGUAAAGCAAUUCCCCCUCAAUUAAAAAAAAAUUUAGAAAAGUGUCCAUUUAGUUCCCCCAUGUGAAGGGCCGACCUUCUACUUUGCUUGCAUCAUUCUCCAAGUCAGCUGUUCAGCUGGUCGGAAAAGCAGCCUCUCCUGAGAAACCGAGGGGGUCAUUUUCAUCAGUCCCCACUGAGCUUUCUCUUUCCUGAACACCUGUCUGGAGACGUGGCUGCCCUGCUCAACUGUGAGGAACUGGUUGGGGGUGGCGAGGGGCGGCGGACAGGAACUCAUAACUUGCAUGGAACCUGGAGGAAGUUUAGUGCUUAGAAAACACUUGCAUGCAAAAGAAUCUUAUCAACUUGAGCCUGCAGAGGAAGCCUCUCAAAAUCACUCCAGUUCACAGACAGCCUUGGUUCCACCGGCUCCCAGAGAGACAAAGAUAUUCAAAACAGCAAGCCCCCUCUCCCCUCCAACGGAAGGGCAGCUGUUCAGCUCCAAGCAUUGCAUAUAAAUGAUCCAGCUAACAAGGUGUUUUUAGCACAAGCUAACAGUUCACUUAGCUCAAAAAGAUGUGGGAACAAAGGUGUUACCAAGCAGUUCAGGAAGGAUUUUCAGCAGCUGGCAGAGGCUCCAAUGUUCAGCAGCCACCUCUUCUAGGUGUGUGAAGUGCGGGCAAUAUACUCAUCAAUAAAGACGGAUCUGCACUCAAAAAAAAAAAAA